AAUCAACGCUGGCGGCGUGCCUCAGACAUGUAAGUCGAACGAUUAAAGCUCCCUUCGGGGAGUGCAUAGAGUGGCGCACGGGUGAGUAACACGUAAGUAAUCUACCUUCGAGUGGGGAAUAACGUCCGGAAACGGACGCUAAUACCGCAUAAUGCAGCGGCAUCGCAAGAUGACAGUUGUUAAAGAUUUAUCGCUUGAAGAGGAGCUUGCGGCAGAUUAGCUAGUUGGUAAGGUAAUGGCUUACCAAGGCUACGAUCUGUAACCGGUCUUAGAGGACGGUCGGUCACACUGACACUGAAUAACGGGUCAGACUCCUACGGGAGGCAGCAGUCGGGAAUUUUGGGCAAUGGGCGAAAGCCUGACCCAGCAACGCCGCGUGAAGGAUGAAGUAUUUCGGUAUGUAAACUUCGAAAGAAUGGGAAGAAUCAAUGACGGUACCAUUUAUAAGGUCCGUCUAACUACGUGCCAGCCGCCGCAGUAA
rnacentral:rRNA from 1 species